rnacentral:rRNA from 1 species
CAGUCGCCGCGGUAAUACGAAGGGGGCUAGCGUUGUUCGGAAUUACUGGGCGUAAAGGGCGCGUAGGCGGCCAUUCAAGUUAGAUGUGAAAGCCCUGGGCUCAACCUAGGAAUUGCAUUUGAUACUGUUUGGCUUGAGUUCGGGAGAGGUGAGUGGAAUUCCCAGUGUAGAGGUGAAAUUCGUAGAUAUUGGGAAGAACACCAGUGGCGAAGGCGGCUCACUGGACCGACACUGACGCUGAGGCGCGAAAGCGUGGGGAGCAGACAGGAUUAGAUACCCCCGUAGUCCCUGUCUCUUAUAC